CUUGCUAUCCAGAGAGCGGCGUACGGGUGCGUAACACGUGUGCAACCUGCCUUUAUCUGGGGGAUAGCCUUUCGAAAGGAAGAUUAAUACCCCAUAAUAUGGUGUCCGGCAUCGGUCGCCAUUGAAAGCCUCGGCGGAUAGAGAUGGGCACGCGCAAGAUUAGAUAGUUGGCGGGGUAACGGCCCACCAAGUCGAUGAUCUUUAGGGGUCCUGAGAGGGAGAUCCCCCACACUGGUACUGAGACACGGACCAGACUCCUACGGGAGGCAGCAGUGAGGAAUAUUGGACAAUGGGUGGAAGCCUGAUCCAGCCAUCCCGCGUGAAGGAUGACGGUCCUAUGGAUUGUAAACUUCUUUUGUACAGGGAUAAACCUGCCCUCGUGAGGGCAGCUGAAGGUACUGUACGAAUAAGCACCGGCUAACUCCGUGCCAGCAGCCGCGGUAAUACGGAGGGUGCGAGCGUUAUCCGGAUUUAUUGGGUUUAAAGGGUCCGUAGGCGGGCCUGUAAGUCAGUGGUGAAAUCUCAUAGCUUAACUAUGAAACUGCCAUUGAUACUGCAGGCCUUGAGUAAAUUUGAAGUGGCUGGAAUAAGUAGUGUAGCGGUGAAAUGCAUAGAUAUUACUUAGAACACCGAUUGCGAAGGCAGGUCACUAAGAUUUAACUGACGCUGAUGGACGAAAGCGUGGGGAGCGAACAGGAUUAGAUACCCUGGUAGUCCACGCCGUAAACGAUGCUAACUCGUUUUUGGAUCUUCGGGUUCAGAGACCAAGCGAAAGUGAUAAGUUAGCCACCUGGGGAGUACGUCCGCAAGGAUGAAACUCAAAGGAAUUGACGGGGGCCCGCACAAGCGGUGGAUUAUGUGGUUUAAUUCGAUGAUACGCGAGGAACCUUACCAAGACUUAAAUGGGAAUUGACAGAUUUAGAAAUAGAUCCUCCUUCGGGCAAUUUUCAAGGUGCUGCAUGGUUGUCGUCAGCUCGUGCCGUGAGGUGUUAGGUUAAGUCCUGCAACGAGCGCAACCCCUGCCAACAGUUGCCAUCAUUCAGUUGGGGACUCUGUUGGGACUGCCUACGCAAGUAGAGAGGAAGGUGGGGAUGACGUCAAAUCAUCACGGCCCUUACGUCUUGGGCCACACACGUAAUACAAUGGCCGGUACAGAGGGCAGCUACCUGGUGACAGGAUGCGAAUCUCGAAAGCCGGUCUCAGUUCGGAUUGGAGUCUGCAACUCGACUCUAUGAAGCUGGAAUCGCUAGUAAUCGCGCAUCAGCCAUGGCGCGGUGAAUACGUUCCCGGGCC
rnacentral:rRNA from 1 species